CCAUUUAUCUAUCUAUCUCUCUAUCUCUUUAUUUCUCUGUCUCUCUCUCUCUCUCUCUCUCUCUGUCUCUAUCUAUUUCUCUCUGUUCCUACCUAAUAUAUUCAAGAUCAUUUAUCUAAUCGCUAGACGUACGCAUGCUUAAUCGAACGAGCACGUUGACACGCUUUGGAUAUAUUUAAACACAUAUAUAUAUAUAUAUAUGUGUGUGGGAUUGAUACAAAUACGGAAUGGCUACAUGCCUAACUCGUAAGGUAUAUUGAACCUAUCUGAAGAAACUAAGGAAUAUCAGUAUCCAUCCGUUCAUAGAGAGAUAUACCGACAUUUUGAAGAAAUCGAGAGCCAUCCUGUCGAUGGCAUUGAAUAGCCCAACCCAUUUUUCUACUACGUCGCCAGCAACCUCGAUAAGAAGGUAGACGACGGAAGAGCAAAGGGGAUAAAGAGGGGUAGAGGAGUGGUAGAGCAAAAGAGAAAGAAUUCGCUGGGGGUGAGACAAUGGAAAAAGUACCGCCAUCUUUAAUUCCGUACCCAACCGUCGCUCGAGCGAUACCCCUCGUCCACCCCCUUAGUCCACUACCACGACUAACCCCUCUCUCACUCUUGACACCAUCUCCCCUCCUCCUACGACUGAAUGAACGAGCUUGGCCCUCGGAGCAAAAAGAAAGAAAAAGCAAACUGUGUCGAUACAAACGAUAUACUACUUUACCGAAGCACCACUAUUCCACGAAGGUACAAGGUCCUUAUCAGCGAAGGUUUAAGAGACUACAUUUUUUUCUACUCUGUUUUUAAUAAAAUAAUAUAAUAUUAUA